AUUGAACGCUAGCGGGAUGCUUUACACAUGCAAGUCGAACGAGUGGCGGACGGGUUAGUAAUAUAUCGGAACGUGCCCAGUCGCGGGGGAUAACUACUCGAAAGAGUGGCUAAUACCGCAUACUCUUGGAGCGGCCGAUAUCGGCUUAGCUUGUUGGGGGGGAAAAGGCUCACAAAGGCAACGAUCCGUAGCUGGUUUGAGGGGACGACCAGCCCAACUGGGAAUGCGACACGGCCCAGACUCCUACGGGAGUAAGCAGUGGGGAAUUUUGGACAAUGGGGGAAACCCUGAUCCAGCCAUCCCGCGUGUAUGAGAAGGCCUUCGGGUUGUAAAGUACUUUUGGCAGAGAAGCGGUAUCUGCAGAAUAAGCACCGGCUAACUACGUGCCAGCAGCCGCGGUAAUAC
rnacentral:rRNA from 1 species